rfam:Schistosoma margrebowiei strain Zambia genome assembly, scaffold: SMRZ_scaffold0000009
AUUCAGCUGAUGAGUCCCAAAUAAGACGAAACACUCAUCCUGAAU